UACUAAGACAGGCUCUAGCUGCCGCAGU
rnacentral:sRNA from 1 species